AACGCGAAGAACCUUACCUAGGUUUGACAUCCCCAGCAAAGCUAUAGAGAUAUAGUGGAGGUUAUCUGGGAGACAGGUGGUGCAUGGUUGUCGUCAGCUCGUGUCAUGAGAUGUUUGGUUAAGUCCAAUAACGAGCGCAACCCUCGUCUUUAGUUACUAACAGGUUAAGCUGAGGACUCUAAAGAUACAGCCAGCGUAAGCUGGAGGAAGGUGGGGAUGACGUCAAAUCAUCAUGCCCCUUAUAUCUAGGGCAACAGGCGUGCUACAAUGGCCGACACAAAAAGAAGCAACAUCGUGAGAUGAAGCAAAUCUCUAAAUUCGGCCUCAGUUCGGAUUGAAGUCUGCAACUCGACUUCAUGAAGCUGGAAUCGCUAGUAAUCCUGAAUCAGCACGUCAGGGUGAAUACGUUCCCGGGUCUUGUACACACCG
rnacentral:rRNA from 1 species